UCACCCUGGACUGAGCUGCCCUUUGCCCCCCCCCAGCCCUGGAGUGCAUGUGUGGGGCAAUCAGCACUUACCUGAGGAGCUGGGAGAGGAGCACCUAUCCACAAAUCACGCUCCAGCGCUUCUCUGCAUACCUGCUCCCCAUGUACCAGGACCUCAUCAGCGCCUGGCUGCCCAGCGAGGACAUGGAGGCUGGUCCCUACCCCUCUCGGUGCCUGAGCCAGGGCUGGAAGGAGAAGUACUGGAUCCAGUGAGUAGUGCCGAGUGACUGAGCCGCAGGGGACCAAGCCAGCAGUCACCCCUGUACCCAUCUCUGGACAGGUCAAACUGGCUGUCCUCCAGGCCCUGGGGCCUAUGCUGAACAUCCUGCUGCCCAGGAAGGAUCUGCAAAACCAGAUCUACGGGGACAUCCCCCUGCUCCUGGCUCAGUAUGGGGAGAACAUCGAGGCCUUUUACAUCACCAAGGUUCUGGGACAGAUCUUGCAGGCCUCUUCCUCCAACAACCCGAUCCCAGAGGUGCAUGUGGAGGCCAUCUCCCAUACGCUGAGCUACCAGGUAUGGGGAAGUGGAGCUG
rnacentral:lncRNA from 1 species